rnacentral:rRNA from 1 species
GGGUAGUCCUAGCCACAAACGAUGCAGACUAGGUGUUUCUUGAACUUCGAGUUCAAGAGAUGCUGAAGGGAAACCAUUAAGUCUGCCGCCUGGGGAGUACGGUCGCAAGGCUGAAACUUAAAGGAAUUGGCGGGGGAGCACCACAAGGGGUGGAGUCUGCGGUUCAAUUGGAUACAACGCCGGGAAACUUACCAGGGACGACGGCAUAAUGACGGUCAGUCUGAAGGGCUUACUUGAAGAGCCGAGAGGUAGUGCAUGGCCGUCGUCAGCUCGUACCGUGAGGCGUGCGGUUAAGUCCGCUAACGAGCGAGACCUGUGCCUUUAUUUGCUACCCUUUUCGAUGGAAGAGGGGCACUAUAGAGGGACCGCUGGCGAUAAACCAGAGGAAGGUGCAGUCGACGAUAGGUCAGUAUGCUCCAAAUUUCCUGGGCUACACGUGGACUACAAUGGGUAUGGGACAAUGAGUUGCGACUCCGAAGGGGAGAAGCUAACCCCCUAAACAUACCUCAGUUCGGAUCGAGGGUUGAAACCCACC